CACGGCUUCCACUCUGGGCUCAUCUACAUUACCUUCUGGAUUGACAGGCAGAGAUCGAUCCAGUGAGGGUUGAUUUAUCGCAUCUCGUCUAGACGUGAUAAAUUGACUGCUGAGCACUCUCCCUUUGA